CCCCAGCCGUUCCCCCUCAACUCCGAACGGUUGGAUCUCGCCCUCCGCCCUUGGACGUCCGCAAGACUCCGGCUGCGGUAAACAAGGACUUUUGCUCGUUAACCCACUGGAGCCAAGUCGUAUUCCAAUGAAAUAAAUGUCUCUAUUUGU